GGAAUGUGGCUCAGCGGUAGAGUGCGUGCCUAGCAUGCAUGAAGACCUGGGUUCGAUUCCUCAGUACCA
rnacentral:tRNA from 1 species